rnacentral:ncRNA from 1 species
UAAAAUAAAGCUGAGAGAUCAGAUUCAUUCUGUCCCUAUCUACUAUCUAGCGAAACCACAGCCAAGGGAACGGGCUUGGAAUAAUUAGCGGGGAAAGAAGACCCUUUUGAGCUUGACUCUAAUCUGGCAGUGUAAGGAGACAUAAGAGGUGUAGCAUAAGUGGGAGAUAUUAGAUUUCGGUUUGGUAUCGACAAUGAAAUACCACUACUCUUAUUGUUUCCUUACUUACUUGAUUAAAUGGAACGUGUAUCAUUUCCUAGCCAUUAUACGGAUAUAUUUAUUAUAUCUUAUGGUAUUGGGUUUUGAUGCAAGCUUCUUGAUCAAAGUAUCACGAGUUUGUUAUAUAAUCGCAAACAAAUUCUUUAAUGAGAAAAUGCAUUUAUGUAUUUUCAAUUUGAAAAUUUGGUAUAACUCCAAUUACUCAGGUAUGAUCCAAUUCAAGGACAUUGCCAGGUAGGGAGUUUGACUGGGGCGGUACAUCUCUCAAAUAAUAACGGAGGUGUCCCAAGGCCAGCUCAGUGCGGACAGAAACCACACAUAGAGCAAAAGGGCAAAUGCUGACUUGAUCUCGGUGUUCAGUACACACAGGGACAGCAAAAGCUCGGCCUAUCGAUCCUUUUGGUUUAAAGAGUUUUUAACAAGAGGUGUCAGAAAAGUUACCAUAGGGAUAACUGGCUUGUGGCGGCCAAGCGUUCAUAGCGACGUCGCUUUUUGAUCCUUCGAUGUCGGCUCUUCCUAUCAUUGUGAAGCAAAAUUCACCAAGCGUUGGAUUGUUCACCCAUGCAAGGGAACGUGAGCUGGGUUUAGACCGUCGUGAGACAGGUUAGUUUUACCCUACUAAUGACAAAACGUUGUUGCGACAGCAUUCCUGCGUAGUACGAGAGGAACCGCAGGUACGGACCAAUGGCACAAUACUU